GCCUGUGUAGCUCAACCGGAUAGAGCAUAAGACUCUUAAUCUUGGGGCUGCGGGUUCGAGUCCCGCACUGGCU
rnacentral:tRNA from 1 species